UAUCACCUCAUAGUCAAUUAUUCAUCUUCGAUCGCCCUUUUUUCCAUCAAUGAGAAAUGCUAAAAACACAGAUGAUUCACCAUCUCUACCGUUGUUUCACCUAUACCUUACGAUAACCAUUUUCAAAUUUGUACAAAACAAUUGAUUCUCUCAUGUUCUACCACAUCUCUGCUUCGCCUCCUUCCUGCUUUCGGUCGUUGAUGACCGAAAAAUCAGGUAUGUGACCACAACUUUGUCCACUGAUGCCUAAUUGAGUUCUCAAUGAAACAUCUCAGUGUCUCCUAUUCCUCUAUCUCUUCCGCUCGAUUACUUGCUCUUAUUAACUUUCUCGUCGUUAGUUUCAAUCUUAUUAUAGACUUAGGGUUCCACCUCUACACCACAAUCAAGUACUAUUUACAAAUCUCGAAUGGUCAAAAUUAAACCUAAAUCUCCCAUAGGAUCCAGGAAACUUCCAAGUUCGCUCAACACUAUACAUGUUUGUGUUCUUCAUUAGUUAAAUAUUUCUUAAUGAAGGUUUGGAGUUAAAGGUCAAGAAGAAUUUGAUUUUGAUUUUACGUUUUAUCUUUUCAUAGUUUUUUUUAUCUUUUGAUUUUGGCUGUUUUUUUUUUCAGUUUUAGAUUGUUCAUUUGAUCCAAAACAAGAAAUAGUCUUGGUUUAUAAAAUAACACUUACUCCGUUUAAUAGAAAAAUUCAUAGAUUUUUACAAAAUUACCUUUAUGUGUCGAUGAUUACAUCCAUGGAGUUGGAAACGAAUUACCCUAAGGAGUUGUGGUUACAACUCCUGAAAUAGCACAAGUAAUGUCUCAAAAAAUAAAAUUCAACACUUUUGGAGGGAACCAUGUGUGUUCAGCUGGAAGACUUGCAAUGCUUAGAGUCCUUGACAAAGCAAAUCUCCAAAAACAUUGUGCUGAUGUGGGCUCUCAUUUGUUUGGGAGAUUGAAAGAUCUUCAACAAAACAUGAUUUUUAAUGAUUGGAGAUGUGAGAGGGAGAGGAUUGAUGGUGUGAAUUGAACUUGUGACUAUUCUGAAAGAGAAGACACCGGCAAUGGGUGAAACUGCCAUUUUGUUUAAAAACUAUGAGGUAUAUUAUGUAUGCAUGAAAACUUCGAAUUACCCAUUUUGACUUGGAUAUAACUAUUUUUAUGUUCAUUGUGAAUGAAGAGCAUGGGGUUCUGGUUGGAAAAGGUGGAUUACAUGGGGAUGUUUUCACAAUAAAACCAUCUAUGUGAUGUGGAAAGAGUCUUUUUCCCAUGUACAUGUUGCUGGCAAGAGUUGUCCCUACUACAAAUGUUAAGACACGGUGUACAACUGUUUAUCGCUUCAGUCGAGCAUGUAAAUUGAUAGCUUUUGGUGGGGACGACACCACAAGUUCAACAAAAUUUAUUCUCCAUGAGACGAAUAAACUAUAAACAACGGCUAAAUUUGGCUCUCUUGUUGUUUUGUAGCUGAUACGACAAAUCUUCAAGGGAUUGAUCUAACAUAGGACCACAUGUUUUCCGCCUCAUGUAAGUGAAUCGUGUGGGUUAUUGCUUAUUUGGGAAGAUUCCAAUGGAUUUGCUUCAAUCUUCAUGGGAAAAAUCUUGAACAUUAUGUUUAGGGGGAAGAGGUGGGAUGAUGUCAACUGUUAUUAAGUAGUUUUGGUUUAUGAAUGUAUGUUUGAUGUUAUAUAUAAACAAUAUGUAUCAAGUAAAGUUAGAGAAGAGUGAUGUCAGUGAAAAUCCAUGAACAUUAUAUGCGUUACUUUUGUAAAAAACAUAUGCUACUCAAAGA